rnacentral:rRNA from 1 species
AACGAACGCUGGCGGCAGGCUUGACACAUGCAAGUCGAACGCCACCUUCGGGUGGAGUGGCAGACGGGUGAGUAACGCGUGGGAACGUACCUUUUGCUUCGGAAUAUUCCCGGGAAACUGGGAGCAAUACCGAAUAAGCCCUGAGGGGGAAAGAUUUAUCGGCAAAAGAUCGGCCCGCGUUAGAUUAGGUAGUUGGUGGGGUAAUGGCCUACCAAGCCUACGAUCUAUAGCUGGUCUGAGAGGAUGAUCAGCCGCAUUGGGACUGAGACACGGCCCAAACUCCUACGGGAGGCAGCAGUGGGGAAUAUUGGACAAUGGGCGCAAGCCUGAUCCAGCCAUGCCGCGUGAAUGAUGAAGGCCUUAGGGUUGUAAAAUUCUUUCAACGGGGACGAUAAUGACGGUACCCGUAGAAGAAGCCCCGGCUAACUUCGUGCCAGCCGCCGCAGUAA